CCUACGGGAGGCAGCAGUGGGGAAUAUUGGGCAAUGGGCGCAAGCCUGACCCAGCAAAGCCGCGUGAAGGAAGAAGGCUCUCGGGUUGUAAACUUCCUUUAUCAGGGACGAAGCAAGUGACGGUACCUGAUGAAUAAGCCACUGCGAACUACGCGCCAGCAGCCGCGGUAAUCCGGAGGUGGCAAGCGUUAUCCGGAUUUCCUGGGUGUAAAGGGCGUGUAGGCGGGAGUGCAAGUCAGAUGUGAAAACUAUGGGCUCAACCCAUAGCCUGCAUUUGAAACUGUACGUCUUGAGUGCUGGUGAGGCAAUCGGAAUUCCGGGUGUAGCGGUGAAAUGCGUAGAUAUACGGAGGAACGCCAGUGGCGAAGGCGGAUUGCUGGACAGUAACUGACGCUGAGGCGCGAAAGCGUGGGGAGCAAACAGGAUUAGAUACCCCAGUAGUC
rnacentral:rRNA from 1 species